GUCCUUCAGUUUUCAACGGCCAGCCCCUAUAUUGGGCAUGUCGAGCUUCGGCCCGACUAUGGAGAUAAACGCGCGCGUAAUAAGCGGACUGGACCCGGGUGCGAUUCCCGGCGGCUCCACCAACCUUCCUUCCGGGUAUCGCCGGGAAGCAUGGGGCCGAUCAGCAUCGACAGACGUCUAAAGGCGUUGCUUUCUCCCGGCUUGGCCCACCGUUUCGGGCCUUUAACUAACUGCGAACGAUAACUUCGCUGAGGAAAUCCGUCUCGCCGCGUAAUGCGGUGCGAUGAAAUUCCGACCUAAGUCCUAGGGGUUCAGAUCCUUAGGCGGGGCCCGGAGGGCGCCUGCCAACAGAAGCCCUCCACC
rnacentral:tmRNA from 1 species